rnacentral:sRNA from 1 species
GCCGGGCGUUGUGGCGGGCGCCUGUGGUCCCAGCUACUUGGGAGGCUGAGGCAGGAGACUCGCUGGAGCCCAGGAGUUGGAGGUUGCUGUGAGCUGCGAUGCCACAGCACUCUACCCAGAGUGAUAGCUUGAGGCUCUGUCUCUAAAAAAAAAAAAGAGACAGAGUAUCACGUUAUCGCCCUCAGUAGAGUUCUGUCACAGCUCAAAGCAACCUCCAACUCCUGGACUUAGGGGAUUCUCCUGCCU